CAGCACCUCAAGUGGUCAGGAUGAUUAUUGGGCCUAAAGCAUCCGUAGCCAGCUCUGUAAGUUUUCGGUUAAAUCUAUGCGCUCAACGUAUGGGCUGCCGAAAAUACUGUAGAGAUAGGGAGUGGGAGAGGUAGACGGUACUCGGUAGGAAGGGGUAAAAUCCUUUGAUCUAUCGAUGACCACCUGUGGCGAAGGCGGUCUACCAGAACACGUUCGACGGUGAGGGAUGAAAGCUGGGGGAGCAAACCGGAUUAGAUACCCGGGUAGUCCCAGCCGUAAACGAUGCAGACUCGAUGAUGCAUUGGCAUAUAGCCAGUGCAGUGUCGCAGGGAAGCCGUUAAGUCUGCCGCCUGGGAAGUACGUACGCAAGUAUGAAACUUAAAGGAAUUGGCGGGGGAGCACCACAAGGGGUGAAGCCUGCGGUUCAAUUGGAGUCAACGCCAGAAAUCUUACCCGGAGAGACAGCAGAAUGAAGGUCAAGCUGAAGACUUUACCAGACAAGCUGAGAGGUGGUGCAUGGCCGUCGCCAGCUCGUGCCGUGAGAUGUCCUGUUAAGUCAGGUAACGAGCGAGAUCCCUGCCGCUAGUUGCUAUCAUUAUUCUCAGGAAUAGUGGGGCGAAUUAGUGGGACUGCCGUUGUUAAAACGGAGGAAGGAAGGGGCUACGGCAGGUCAGUAUGCCCCGAAACUCUGGGGCCACACGCGGGCUGCAAUGGUAGCGACAAUGAAUUCCAAACUCGAAAGAGAGUGGCAAUCCCUAAACGCUACCACAGUUAUGACUGAGGGCUGCAACUCGCCCUCACGAAUAUGGAAUCCCUAGUAACCGCGUGUCAUUACCGCGCGGUGAAUACGUCCCUGCUCCUU
rnacentral:rRNA from 1 species